rnacentral:lncRNA from 1 species
ACAAUCCCUUGAGAAAAGAAAACACUUUUCAAUAACACACUCUUGAUUUUACUUCACAGUUUCAAUCAAGAAGACACACUCUUGAUCUUGCUUAACAACUUUGAUCAAGAAGACACACACUUGAUCUUGCUUAACAACUUUGAUCAAGUAGACACACACUCUUGCUUAACAGCUUUAGAGUGACAAAUUACAACCACAAAUCAGACCAAUUCAAUCAUCAAUGGAUG